rnacentral:rRNA from 1 species
UAAUCUCCCUUGAGCGGGGGACAACGUUUCGAAAGGAACGCUAAUACCGCAUAAGUCUCCGAGGACUCUGGUUCUUGGAGGGAAAGCUAGGUCGCAAGAUCCGGCACUCGAGGAGGAGCCUGCGUCGCAUCAGCUAGUUGGUGGGGUAACGGCCUACCAAGGCGAAGACGCGUAGCUGGUCUGAGAGGAUGAUCAGCCACACUGGGACUGAGACACGGCCCAG